rnacentral:tRNA from 1 species
GCGGGAUUGGCGAAACUGGCAGACGCACCAGACUUAGGAUCUGGCGCCUAACGGCAUGAGGGUUCAAGUCCCUUGUCCCGCACCA